UAAAUUUAAAAAAAGAUACUUCCACAUGUGAUCAUCCUGCACACACGCACACAUAUCUUACAUGAAUAUACGUGACAGUCAUGCACACAACAUUCACCCACAGCAUGUGAAAUAAACACGCACAUGCACAUGGACAGUACCUCCUCAUCUACACGUGGUGUUUAUGGAUUAAAACAGGGUAGCGAUGCGUAGGUGUGCAUCCUCGUGGACUCGCAGCUCUGUUUGUGUGGUUGCGUUCUCUGUAAUAACCAUGGCAACGGGCACUAUAUUUGUCCUCCACAGAGCAGUCAGAGAUGUGCAGAAAGUCUGUCCUUAUUUCCACAUUGCAUUAAAACAGAAUAAAACAUCACCUCUGAGUGGUCUGACUUAUUUAGGUCUGCAAGGCACAGUUUCAUUAUUUUCACCUGUUACUUCAAUAUGCAUAUAGAAGCAUCUUCAGUAACUGACUAGAAUUGAAUACUGUCAGUCAUAAUACAGCAGAUCAGACCAAUCAGUGUUAAAGUGCUUUCUUUUAGUAAUUAUCUUUAGGAAUUUAUCAAUUUUCAUUGGCACUCAAUCAGUUUAUAGUGGCUAUAAUUCAUGUAAUUACCCCAAGUUAAUCACAGCAUGCACAGUUUCUCAUCAGUAGAUUUGAAUAUCAUUAAUAAUGAAACAUUCACAUCCUCAUCAAAGCUGUGCAUCCAUGACUUCUGUCUCUUAGGGACUACUUCUUUGAUGCCCUACAAUUAAUUGGCAGUAGGACAUGUCUGCCUCGGAAACACAUAUUAGGGCAGUGCACACAUAAAAAAAAAUCCUCCACACAUACUUUUUAAACUUACAUAUAUCAUUAGUUGGCCUGUUUUACUUAUGUAUCACUUGCACAUUAUUGUGUGUAACUGAUAUUUAGGUUGUGUGAGACUUUACCACCAGUUUAGGAAUCAUCCAAAGUUGACAUGCAUAUCACAGAUGCACAGGUGGAGCCUAGCGUGUGCUCUAAUGCUUGCAGGCUCCAAGCGUCGGGGUACAGAGUGGGAGCAGAGUGGUGUGAUUUUGCCUGGAGAAGGGAAGCGGCUUUUUUAAAAGUCAGAGCAUCUGUGUUCUCUUUUUCUGGAAGAUAACGCUCCAUCCCACAAGUCUUUCUUUAGUAACAAUGAAAAAGGCAGACAUUUUGCUAACUUUUCCCUCAAAUUUCACUCAGACUUUUAGCUACAAACACAACUCUAGCUCUUUCAAGUGACCGUGCAAACCCUUGUUUUAACAAAGUAUCCAUAUCUCGUGUGUGCGGAUUCUAUCUUUGAUAGCUCAAGAUUAUUUUCAAAUUCACCAGAAAUUGUGCAGAUUUUUCUUUUUUCCCUUUAACCCCUCUUCUGUUUUUGCUGCUCUCUCUUUUCACGUACACUUGCUGCAUUGUCUUGCCCAAGUUAAAAUAUUUAAAACAGAACUCUGGAGAUUUACGUUUAGUCCCUCCAUUAAAUGAGGACUGAGAUGUUCUGACAUCUAGCCCUUAGUGUGACUGAAUCUCCAGAAAUGCUGACACCUACACUUUCUAUAAUGAAUAUAGGAAGUUUUUUUUGUUCCAUUAGAGUCCAUUUAUUUAUUAGAAUAAACCAAGUGAAAGCCCCAGAUUUAAAUUUUCUGACUACACAACCCCCCUUCCAGAGCCACUGAAGACAUUUUACUGCAGUUUUUGUGAGACGAGAGAUACUCCCUUUGAUAAACAGUGAAAUUUGAGUGCCCCCAGAAAUGUCUUUGCAUAACUUUGCACAACCUUUCAAUGAAUCUGUCACAUGCAGGAAUGUGUUUAGUUUAGUUCUCUGUAAGAUAGGCAUGUGUUGCACUGACACUCAGGGCAGGUGCUCCUCUGGCUGACACAGCAUUUAAGCAGCAAAACAAAAUAGUGCACUACUGUAAUGAGAUUAAAUAUGUCUGUAAUGUAACAAAGAAAUGCAUUAGUCUUCUUAGAUUCAGAGUUUUCAUCCUACUUUCUAAUCCAAAAAUUAUGCCACUUGUGUUGCAUAACUUCUUCAAUUAUCUGCAUAAUGAGGAGAUAAGAAAGAGAAAGAAAAGAGAGAAAGAAAACAUCAUGAGAUGCAUCAACGUGCGUGAAAAGGCUCUCUCAAGAAUGUGAUGGCAAAGUGCAAAGCUCUUUGGUAUGUCUUUGUUUUCAGGAAAGCAUAUGCAUUGAUAUGUAAGGAUGGCAAUUAUGUAAUAAUGGAUUUCAGGCGAGGUUGCAGAGCUGUGCUAAAUAAGUUAAUGAGCAUUAAAAGAUAUUUUCUAUACGAUUAGUAAAGUCAUACCUUACAUGUCUUUUACAAAUUAAAAAGUGAUGUUUUAUAUAUAUUGUAUUGUAUUUUGUAUCACAUAUAAAGCCAAAUUCUGUUCAGACGAGGACGUCACCAUUCAAAGUGAUAUAAAGUUCUGAAAUGAUGUGCACAUCACAUUUCUAAGUGCUACAUGCUUAAUAUAAUGCACUUUAACUAAACAACUCAGCUGAAGUGAAGUGAGGACCUGCUCAGCGGAAUACAUUUGUCUUCAUCUACACAGAUAUGUGAGGUCAGACAGUGUCAGAGGCAUGACUCAGGAAUUCAAAUUUCAUUUAAAUCUCCUCUUACUGGCAAUAUGCUGAACAUUAUAUAAUUCAUCUCACCAUUAACAUUUUACAGAAUGUGUUUCCUACCCUUCAGUACACGUUCCUGGAAAUGGCUCUGUACUUUUCUACUGAUCUACUGGAGCAACAUACACUCACCCAGUACUUUAUUAGGUACACCUGCAUUUAGACGUGUGGACAUGGUCGAGACGACCUGCUGAAGUUCAAAUAGAGCAUCAGAACUGGGGGGAAAAGGGCGACUACGAGCGGGUGAUGGUUAUUGGUGCCAGACUGGUUGGUCUGAAUAUUUCAGAAAUUGAUGAUCUACUGGGAUUUUCCCACACAAAUAUUUCUUGAGGUUUAUGGGGAAUGGUCUGAAAAAACGUUCUAUGAGUGAAAAUGCCAUGUUGCUAUGAGAGGUGAAUGGCCAGAUUAAUUUGAGCUGAUAGAAAGGCAACAGUAACUGCCAUGUUAACCAGCAGGAUUACACAGCAUGUCAUAAAGCUCACAUCAUCUCAAACUGAUUUCUUGAACACGACAGCGAGUUCACUGGCCUCAGCUCUGCAACUGUGUGAUGCUAUUGUGUCAUUAUGAACCAAAGUCUCUGAGGAAUGUCUCCAGCGCUUUGUUCAGACUAUGCUGCGAGGAAUUAAGACAAAUAAAAUAUUUCAAGUUUUCGGCUGUUUUAAGAUUAAGCAGGUCUAUUCAACACAUCUGUCAGACCUCUGCACUGGUGUGGGACCAUGAAUUUGUUUUUUUGGGUGCAUUUCAGUUUCAGGAUCCAUUUACUUUUUUUAAAAUUAAACCUUGCUUUUUCUUUUUAUCUGUUUAUUUAAGCUUGUUUUUUCACCCUGGAAUAAAUUUUGGCUUCCAUUAUGGUUUUCUGCAAUCGCAACCAAGCAAGGGUGAUUGAAUGACUAAGGCACUGGACUACAAUCAAAAGCUCCAUGAGGGUUUUUUUUUCAUAAUAUAAUUAUUUAUUUUCCAUUUGUUUUUCCAUCAAGUCCUUCACAUAUUUUUGUUAGAAAAAAUGGUAAGCAAUAGCUAGUAGCACACAUUAGCCUUGGUGAAAAUUUGAUUUGCACUGGUUAAAACAGAGUCCACUCCAUCUCUCUGACCCAAAAGUCUGUUCUGAAGCUGACGGUGCUGAAAAGCAGUGCAAAUCUUGUUAAUCUCAAACAACCUGUAAGAACUGAAUAGCACACACACCAGAUUGUGUGUGAGUGCGUGCAGUACGUGAAUGCUGCACAAUGCUAAAGGGACACACAGAGAGGAAGUGAGAGGGUGAGUGAAAUAAAGGCACUUGUGUGGUACUUGGCAAAAAUGCUGUAGGUUUCAGUGCAUCAGUGAAGGUAAGUGUGUGGGAGGAUGACGGCACACAUCUCCUCCGCGGCCACUGAAAAUCAUUUUUGUGUGUGAAGAUAGAAAACGGCGUGCGUGUGUGUGUGUGUGCGCACGCAGUAGUGCUCGGAUCUAAGUACUAGUCAGAGUAGCCGCAGGCGAUCUCUAUGACUUUCCACAACUGCAGAUAAUUCUGUUUUUACACACACAGUAUUCAGUGCAGAGCAUGUAGCAUCCUGCGUGUGCAAUACAUGUAGCAAAUGCAUUACAGGUGACAUUUCAGCACUCAUUUUAAUCAUCACUCAAAGCUGAAAGAGCAAGGUGAAGUGCUAUUUGAACCAUUUGCUAAUUACGUGCAUGUGUGUGUGUGUAUUUGAGUGUAUUUGAGUGAAUGGAGACCUUAUGUGCACAUGUUGAUAUCACACUGCAAUCCAUCCAGUGGUAAUUGCAGGCUUGGUGUGAGCUUUCACAGCACGUGGACACACACACACGCACACUCACACACAAGGGUGCGGAAAAUGAAUGAAGUUUUGAAUGCAGAGGUUUAUUUCUCCACCUUUUUUAUGUGGGUCAGAGGCAUAAUGCUAAAUACCUUUGCCCUUGAGAGCUCCGUUCUAAUGCUGCUAAAUAUAAGCCUCUCAAACUGUGUGAGAAGGCACAGCGAGGGCGCUCUUUGAGAGGAGAGACGCCGAGACAGAACGAGUUCAAAACGCAGCAAAUACAAACUACAACAUUGAGGCAGAGAAAUGGCGAAAUGAAAGAAAAGAAAAUGAAAAAGAAGUGUUAGGGCAGCCAAAAAAGAAGGACAGAAGAAACAAGAGGCUCUAUUCCAAGUUUGUUUUCUGCUGUCUGUUAAACCUUGGGGAAAAAAAACCUUCAUGCAUUAUGCAAUUCCAUGUGACAGAAAGAUGGGGAUUGGGGCAAACCAGGGAUACAGACCACAUUAUCCAGUCAUGCCAGAGUUUAUCAAGGGAGAGCUCUUGAUGCAUGAAAAUCUGUAUGGUGCUGUUUUUGCCAUCACAGGGUCUGAAGUGAUGACGGGGAACAAUAGUGGGAGUGGAAGAGGACUGGCGAAAGCAAAGUAGCUUUGAAUAAAUGCAGCAUUCGGGGGAAGGAGAUGGUCCUGCUUGUCAGAUGUCUGGGUGUUUGCAGAUCAGCGUGAUGAAGCUGGAGAGACAGGAUACAGUGCUUUAUUUUUUAAUUGUCAAUUUCCUUUCUUUUGCUGUUUGAUAAUUAUCUUUUUGUCACAAUGAGUUAUUUUGAGAUAUUAAAAGAGCUCCAUCAGUGGAGCUUAACACCAUGAAGAAAUGGCAUAAAAAUUAAAUGCCUUUCAAGUCUUUUAGUGUCAACUCUUUUGUUUUUGCCACUGUUUGCAAUAAAAACAGGAAAUUGUUCACAAAAUUAAACCUGGAUUGUACAGAAAACAACAAAUCGCCAGUGCUUAUAUUUCCAGUCUGUGUGCUGGGACGUAUCAGAUUAGGACAUUUGACAGAUGACAUCGUGACUAGUGGUUAGUAUUCUCAAUGACAAGGUGGCUAUAAAAACAAAAAACCCUGCUGCUUAUCAUUUCAGAGAACAUGAUUUUGUCAAAUGUAAUGUUCUCACACCUCUAAUAAGAUAGCUUCUCCCUCAGGAAACUAUCUUUUUAGAGUUAUUUCUGUCAAAGGUGUCGGACACAAAAGCUGAACUCCUUCCCUGCUGAUCUUUUUGGGCUCAAAGUCAUUAAAUGUGCUCUAACCUGUGAACUCUUUAGAAGACGUUUGCUCUCUGUAACCACAAACCAAACUCUUCCUGUAGCCGUCGCAUUGAAAUGUAAUUAUUAUGUGAUUGCAAUGUUCAAAAUUUGGUGUUUAAUCUGGAUUCAUGUUGUGUUGUCGCCACCUACUGGUGGGCCUGAGUGUGGCGCUUUGUGGUGCGCAUGCUUUGGGGUGAGGCUCAAUUAAGCGCACGUGUCACCAGAGACUGAAGGCUCGAGCCAGAAAGAGAAUGCUGGCCUGUGUAAAGGGUGGAAAUAUAGAAGAUAUGGACUACAAUUGCUCAUGAAUGUUCAGUAGAAAGGCGCACACGUUUUUCACGGUGUUUGCUGGUGAAAAGAAGAUUAAAAUACUGGCUGAACAUCA